CCCAGUGAACAAUUAAACGGCCGCGGUACCCUAACCGUGCAAAGGUAGCAUAAUCAUUUGUCUACUAAUUAUAGACCUGCAUGAAAGGCAAAAUGAGGGUUUAACUGUCUCUUAUAAUGAAUCAAUUAAACUGAUCUCCUAGUAAAAAAGCUAGAAUUUCCACAUAAGACCAGAAGACCCUGUGAAGCUUAAACUAAAUUAUUAAACCAUAUAAUAACCACUUUCGGUUGGGGCGACCUUGGAAAAAAAAAGAACUUCCAAAAACCAUGACUAUCAUACCACCUAGGCCUACCAGCCAAUAAACGACCCAGCACAGCUGAUCAAUGAACCAAGUUACUCCAGGGAUAACAGCGCAAUCCUCUUCAAGAGCCCAUAUCAAAAAGAGGGUUUACGACCUCGAUGUUGGAUCAGGACAUCCUAA
rnacentral:rRNA from 1 species